UACGUAGGUGGCAAGCGUUAUCCGGAAUUACUGGGCGUAAAGCGCACGCAGGCGGUCUUUUAAGUUUGACGUGAAAGCUCCCGGCUUAACUGGGAGAGGUCGUUGAAGACUGGAAGACUUGAGGCAAUGAGAGGGAUGUAGAAUUCCCGGUGUAGUGGUGGAAUGCGUAGAUAUCGGGGGGAAUACCAGUGGCGAAAGCGGCACCCUAGCGUUAGCCUGACGCUCAUGUGCGAAAGCGUGGGGAGCGAACGGG
rnacentral:rRNA from 1 species